rnacentral:rRNA from 1 species
CCUACGGGUGGCAGCAGUGAGGAAUAUUGGGCAAUGGACGCAAGGCUGACCCAGCCAAGCCGCGUGAGUGAAGAAGGUUUUCGGAUUGUAAAGCUCUUUCGGAAGUGACGAGGAUGACGGUAGCAUUUAAAGAUGCCCCGGCUCACUUUGUGCAAGAAGCGGCGGUAAUACGAAGGGGGCAAGCGUGGUGCGGAUUUACUGGGCGUAAAGGGAGUGUAUGCGGUUUCGGAAGAUAGUGGUGAAAUCCCCGGGCUUAACUUUCGAUUUGCAUUUUUAACUAAUGGUCUUGAGUUACAGAGAGGAAUGCGGAAUACCUAGUGUAGCGGUGAAAUGCGUAGAUAUUAGGUAGAACACCAGUGGCGAAGGCGACUUUCUGGCUGUACAUUGACGCUGAGGCUCGAAAGCGUGGGGAUCAAACAGGAUUAGAGACCCGAGUAGUC